GCAGGCUUAACACAUGCAAGUCGAGCGGGCAUCCUUGUGGUGUCAGCGGCAGACGGGUGAGUAACGCGUGGGAACGUGCCCUUUGGUUCGGAAUAACUCAGGGAAACUUGAGCUAAUACCGGAUACGCCCUUAUGGGGAAAGGCUUGACUGCCGAAGGAUCGGCCCGCGUCUGAUUAGCUGGUUGGUGAGGUUAUGGCUCACCAAGGCGACGAUCAGUAGCUGGUCUGAGAGGAUGAUCAGCCACACUGGGACUGAGACACGGCCCAGACUCCUACGGGAGGCAGCAGUGGGGAAUAUUGGACAAUGGGGGCAACCCUGAUCCAGCCAUGCCGCGUGAGUGAUGACGGCCUUAGGGUUGUAAAGCUCUUUUCUCCGGGACGAUAAUGACGGUACCGGAGGAAUAAGCCCCGGCUAACUUCGUGCCAGCAGCCGCGGUAAUACGAAGGGGGCUAGCGUUGCUCGGAAUCACUGGGCGUAAAGGGCGCGUAGGCGGCUGAUUUAGUCGAGGGUGAAAGCCCGUGGCUCAACCACGGAAUGGCCUUCGAUACUGGUUGGCUUGAGACCGGAAGAGGACAGCGGAACUGCGAGUGUAGAGGUGAAAUUCGUAGAUAUUCGCAAGAACACCAGUGGCGAAGGCGG
rnacentral:rRNA from 1 species